UUCUUCAGAGACAUCUUAAUUUAUAGAGGGCGGAUCUCGGCGCCACGGUAAGGUUGCUCCAUUGUAACCUAGUGGUUGCGGGUUCGAGUUGGGAAACAGCCUCUCUAUGAAGCAAGGGUAAGGCUGCGUACAUUAUGAUCCUCACCAAACCCCGCAGUGGCGGG